rnacentral:piRNA from 1 species
UAAGCCUUUGCCCCCUGUUCAUUCCUGAAAU